rnacentral:lncRNA from 1 species
CGCUUGCGCCAGCCAGUGUGAAAAUGCUAGAUGCACCCGGUAAGUGUACACCAUUUUUCACUUAGAGCCCUUCCAUAUUUCCAAAAAAUCCCCAAAAGUUACCAAAAAUACUAAACAAUAUUCUAAACUAAUCCCUAUACUCCUUUCCCAUUGUUCAUCACAUUCAUACCCUUUUCCAAAAUAUCUAGCCCCACAUAAAUAGAAACCCUAUAGAAAUAUACCCAUAGAUUCAUGUCCUGCCAAUCCAAGCCCCAAAAAUUCUAGGAAAAUUCUUAAAAAAUACCGUAGAGCCAUCUAAGCCUAUUUCCAUGCCCAUAUUAGGUCACCUUGCCCAGGCUCUACCUCAGUGGCCGAAGUGAGUCCAUCAAGCAAGUUCUAUGCUCAAUUUUCUAUCCGCUUGAUCUUGCCCGAGCUCCACCCUAGUGGUCGAAGUGAGUUCGUCAUGCAAGCUCUCUGGCUUCCACUUGAUCUUGCCUGACUGCACCAUGUGUACUAUCCCCUAGUACCAGGAUAGACCAACUGUCACACAAGCUCUCGAGUUCCACUCCUACCCUACAUAAGGAAACUAGACCAGCUCCAUCUGCCAUAGGGUCAAAGUCGAGCUUGUCUUACAAGUUUCCUAGCCUUGAAAUCCAUCCUCAUCACCCAGCAUCCACAUCAUACUUAGGGUCCAUUCUAAUACCCAACCGUUGUGCUACCUAAUCCAAACCACAUAUAUCGACCCAAUCUAGCCGUUAUGUUGCCCAACUAAAAACCCCAAAUAUCGACCCGACCUAGCCGUUAUGCCGUCCAUCCAAACCCUAGAAAAUCCAUUCCUUAUUCUCUUAUAAAUUCAACAAUUCCAUCCAUUAAUUAUUUGCAAGCUUAUUUCUAAAUAAUUAAUAAACCAUUCAUCCUUUAUCCGAGGAUUAUCCUUUGAAAUCCAAUAAUUCCCAAAAUAUCCAUUAUCCAUUCUUUUUCCAUUUCCUUUAGUCAUAUAUUGAUUGCUAGGAAUUUAUUGUUAAAUUAUUUGUAUAAUUGCAUGCUUGUUGGAGCCGAG